rnacentral:rRNA from 1 species
AGGGAAUCUUCCACAAUGGACGGAAGUCUGAUGGAGCAACGCCGCGUGAGUGAUGAAGGUUUUCGGAUCGUAAAACUCUGUUGUAAGGGAAGAACCAGUACGUCAGGCAAGGGACGUACCUUGACGGUACCUUAUUAGAAAGCCACGGCUAACUACGUGCCAGCAGCCGCGGUAAUACGUAGGUGGCAAGCGUUGUCCGGAAUUAUUGGGCGUAAAGUGCGCGCAGGUGGUUUCUUAAGUCUGAUGUGAAAGCCCACGGCUUAACCGUGGAGAGUCAUUGGAAACUGGGAGACUUGAGUGCAGAAGAGGAAAGUGGAAUUCCAAGUGUAGCGGUGAAAUGCGUAGAGAUUUGGAGGAACAUCAGUGGCGAAGGCGGCUAACUGGGCUGUAACUGACGCUCAUUCACGAAAGCGUGGGGAGCAAAUA